AAAUCUAGUUUGUUCAAAUAAUUUCUUAUUUAAAAUUAUGAGGGUCAUGGACUAUUAGUGUUAUUAUUAUCGUACGCCUCACUAAUUAAGGGAAUCAAAUUAACUAAAUGCUAAGAGAAAAGGGAUUUUUAUUUUUCAAAACUAAUGUUCAAACAAACUAAAAAAAACUUGCGUUAAAAGAGAAGCAAGUUUAAUUUAACAAAUGGCUUGGGCCAUCAACAUCAAUUAAAUAAGAAAUUAAAGAGGCAGGCCCAAGCAUAAUGAGGCCCCUAAUUCAUGUUUCAGGUGGUCUUAGAGUCUAGGCCCCAAAGAAUGGCCCAAAUCACGAGAUCGAGUCCCUAUGGCACGCAGACAGUACCUGAAAAUCAAAGGGUAUCACCAUUAACCCAAUUGGAUGUCAACAAUGCAAAACUAUAUAUGCAAUCAGAUUUAAAUCAGUCCCCAGCUAACUCAAUAAAAAAUUGUGUGAGAUUUCAACUUUAAUUAAACCUCUCUUUCGCACAUACAACAGCAAAUAAAAUCUUAUGAGGUUGUCAAAUAAACAAAUCUAAAUUUAAACAUCAACCCCACCUUACACAUGCUUACAAGCACACCAAGAGUAACUCUGUACAUAAACUGAGUACUAACUUAUAUACCAUUCAAUUAAUAAUUUCAUGAAGUAAAAAGUACAUAAUGAUUUUUCAAAUAGCAGAAUAUGCUCACUAGGAUAAAUUCCAACUGAAGAUUUCUGGUUUCAAACCUAUGCAUAUCAACUUAACGAUUCAAAUAAAUUCCUACAACAAACACUAAUUUCGACAGGCUAAAACAUAUCUGAAACAUGUUUAAUUCUACUGAGAUUUCUACUGCACUGAUUCUCGACCAUCCACACAUAUGAACAGCAAAUUCAACUUAUUUAAACCGUACCUCAGCUAAAUCCUUUCUCAUUCAACACAGUAACAACGUCCAGGAAAUUAACAUACCAUCCUCUUAAAUUUAAAAAUCAUGCUAAAACUCUCAACAACAUGGAUUCAUUUUCACUACAUAUUAAUAACACAAAAAAAAACUGAAAUAAAAUGUAUUGUAUACGAUUUACUACAGAAUGCUAAAGAAGUAGAAGAAACACAAGAAAUAAAUUCAAAUACAAUCUGUAUUCAAUCAGGUUUCCACUCAAAAUACAUGUUCACGGUCACUUGGUGUCCAUGGUUUGCAAAAAUACAUAGAAUGCAAUAGGAAAACAAAGAGGAAUGAGGAAUUAGCAGCAGCAACAGUGCAUCAAUAUCAAUGUAACAAUGUCAACACAAAAAAUCCAACCAAACUCCAAACCAGCUCAAAACAAUUUAAACCAAGUGAACAAAUUGGGAUUUUGAGAAGCUCUAAUUAAACGAAGAAAACCAAAAAACAAAAAAACCAAGCCAAUUUUUAGCAAUUUUUUGAACUUUUAGAGACUCCAGUUGUUUUUUCAAUUUUAGUGUUUUUAGUUUCUCCAACUCUUACUUGGGAGUGAUGCAAUUACCCUUUUAUAGAGAAGCUUUAAGGCAACAUAAAAUAAAUCAGACUUUACCCAUCAUUCCUUUUUAAAUUUUUAUUUUUGUUACUUGGUCCUUAAUUUAAAAACCAGUUUUCUAAACAGGUCCCAAACCCACCUUCCUAGCAGCUUCCUAAAUCAGUUACUGAAGAUUCUCCUCCUUAAAAUUCCUAAACUAACCCUUAAACCCCUGUCAAUUACCUCAGCCUACCUCAUGGGUCAUGUUAACCCAAUACCCAAACAAAACAGACAUGGGCUUGCAAAGACCCGGAUCAAUUCCUCUUUUUGGGCCUUUGUCUGACAGAGCCCUAAAUUUAAAUCAAAAUCAAAGUUUACAAAAUUAACGGGCUAAACAGAGUUGCCCAAAACUAGAACAUUUUGAAAAAUGAUAAACAAAAACAAAAGAACAAAAGAGCUAAUUAAAACUAAACAUAAGAACCCAAACAAACACAACUAAAACUUGCUUUUAAUCUGAUCAUGCAACAAACACUGAAUAAAAAAAAUUAAAAAUAAUAAUAAAGGACAAGAACAGAGGAGAUAGAAAGAUAUAGAGAUGAGAAGAAGAAUAAAAGAACGAAAAAAUAAAAUAAAAGUACGAGGGUACCUAAUAGAAGACGCGAAAGAACAAAGCUCGGAGGGCCUCAGAUUUCUUGAUUUUGAGCCAAAAUUGUUAUUCGUCAUGGGUUCUCGCUAAGAACCGACGAGAAACAACAAUUACAGCCCUAACCAGUCAUCGAAACUUGAAAGAUUUGUGAGAUUUUUGUUUUUGCUUUUCUACCUUUUUUCGAAUCUAAAAUUGGCUUAGUUUGGUGUUGAUGUGAAGGAAUAUGGUGAUGGCUUGGGGGUCAGGGAUGAGUGGAGGUUGUGUGAUGUUUAUUUGUGGUUGAUUGGAGGUGGCGUCGCCGGUGUGAUAUGGUGGAGAAUUCAUGGCGGCACUUGUGUUUCUGGAGAUGAGGGAGAUGAAGUGAAGAAGGCUGUUUGGAAUUGACAUUGUCUUUGGGGGUUUGGACAUUUUUAUGUAUUUGUGAUUGACCUCCAAUGUUCGUUGGACAAAGGAAUAUGAAGG
rnacentral:lncRNA from 1 species